rnacentral:rRNA from 1 species
GACGUAGGGCGCGAGCGUUGUCCGGAUUUAUUGGGCGUAAAGAGCUCGUAGGCGGCUUGUUGCGUCGACCGUGAAAACCCGUGGCUUAACUGCGGGCUUGCGGUCGAUACGGGCGGGCUGGAGUUCGGUAGGGGAGACUGGAAUUCCUGGUGUAGCGGUGAAAUGCGCAGAUAUCGGGAGGAACACCGGUGGCGAAGGCGGUUCUCUGGGCCUGACCUGACGCUGAGGAGCGAAAGCGUGGGGAGCGAACAGG